rnacentral:sRNA from 1 species
GCUGGGUAUAGUGGCAUGCUCCUGUAAUCCCAAUUUACUUGGGAGACUGAGGCAGGAGGAUUACUUGAGCCCAGGAGCCCAAGGUCAGUCUGGGCAACAUAGCAAAAUCCUGUCUCAA